AAACCUGCCCAUUACGUUGCCCACGGGGCACUCCCUCUCUCCCUCCGUGUCCGAUGGAACGGGUCAGGACGCAGAAACGGGUCCAAAUUGAAGAUCCCGACUCCGACCCUCCUCCCAGAUACGACGACGUUUCCGCCGCCGCCGCCGACGAACCUGAAGAAGCGAAGGUUCGCUUCAAAUCCUCCAACAGCAACGUCUCCGACGACCAAGAACCAUUCAUGGGCUUCAAGGUCCGUCGCAAAGCCUCUUUCCACAGAGACUACCAGGGUGAUUACCUCGACGUCCCUUCACACCCAUUUCUCAUGAAGAUUUUGCACAAACAAGGUGACAGGCAGGUUCUAUUUGCGGAUAGGGUUUUAAAGUUCACUUGCUCCGGGAAGAUGAAGCGUUGCGUUCUGUUGAUCACUGAUUUCGCUAUUUAUAUCGUUGACCCUGAAGUGGACGCGCUUAAACGGAGGAUAGCGCUUGCGGCAGUUGAGAGGGUUUGUCUCAGUGAACUGAGUGACAACUUCUUCGCGGUGAUAAUUCCGACGGAGUAUGAUUUGCUCAUGGCAAGCACUCGAAAGUCUGAGAUUGUUACCAUGUUGGUUGAAGCUACCAAGUCCAAGAGCGCUUCUGAUUUUGAACUCGACGUGGCUUUCUCGAACAGGUUUGAGUAUAAUGCCGCAUCUGACGUGGUGAAGGAAAUUCAAUUUGAGGAAGUGGAAGGGGGUGUUAAAACAAGAAUUUUGCGGAAGUGAAAAGUUGUUAAUCUUUAUGUUAUCUGUAAACUAAGUGGGAGAUACAUACAGCUAAUGAUUAUUAAGUGAUAGUACCGAAUGCCCCUGGGGAAUCGCUCAUUUGCUUCUCCUCUAAAGGGUUCGAUUUGAGAAUUUUUGAAAUUGCUAUGUUCGCACAGAUUCUUCUCAAGGAUGACCUUUAUGUUGUCUGUUUCAGAGACCGUGAAUGAGGAAUAAAUUGAUUGAAGAGGAAAAGGGAGCUGAUCUGGUGCUGAGGGUCCACAGAGUUACCAUGGACACGCAGAGAUUUGACGGUUGCUAGGUGAAUUUGGCAGAGUUUCUCAUUAGUUGCGGACUACAAUUGUUUCUAUAUUGUUUCCAUUUAUCACCUAAGAGAAGUGUGUUUACUUAAAUUUUCAAACUCAAGUAAGGAUGUAACAGAAGGGGAAAUUAAUCAGGGACUGCUAAGUUAGUUAGAUGUUAUUAUAGUAGUUACUUAGUACUAGGACGAGAUGAGUUAUAAAUAGAGGAAAAUCAAAUUAGAUGAACACAUUAUGUAGCAUUAUAUAUCUCUCAUUAAGUAUGUCCUUUAGUAUCUGAAAA